rnacentral:rRNA from 1 species
GCUCCAAUAGCGUAUAUUUAAGUUGUUGCAGUUAAAAAGCUCGUAGUUGGACCUUGGGUUGGGUCGAUCGGUCCGCCUAUGGUGUGCACCGGUCGUCUCGUCCUUCUACCGGCGAUACGCUCCUGGCCUUAAUUGGCCGGGUCGUGCCUCCGGUGCUGUUACUUUGAAGAAAUUAGAGUGCUCAAGCAAGCCGCGCUCUG